AGACCACACCACCACAACUGUUACCACUACCGUCAUGCUAUCACCGUCAAUUGCAAAGGAAAGGAAUAUCGAGCUGAAUCGGUGGCUCUAACUAAUUGUAAUGUAUCUGAGUCUGACGUACAUCGCACCGCGGUCUUUCAGUUGUGAGAAUUUUUUUACAUAUUUCGAAUACGUAAAAUGAUUCUGGAAAAACUCAGUGAAAUACGUGAUAUGUACAAUAGUUGAAAUACUUGGUAUGUCGUUUCAGAGCAUUCAGAGUUCAAACGUGUGUAGAAACGUUAAGGAAUUUUUCCACUUGCAAUUAGUUUGCAAUGCAGUAACCAAAACCGGUAUCCUGUUACGAUUAUGAAAGGCCACCGUGUGCUAACUUCAGGGUUAAUAUCGUGGUUUUAUUAAAGAACGAACGAAUAGAUGUAAGCGACAGCGAUGUAAAUAGAAAUUAUUGUCUAAUAAUGUUUAAGGGUGUAAAUGUAGAAUGUAUGAUUUGAUAAAUGUGGUUCUUUUCUGGCUGUA